AACGCUAGCUACAGGCUUAACACAUGCAAGUCGAGGGGAAACGAUAUUGGAAGCUUGCUUCCGAUAGGCGUCGACCGGCGCACGGGUGAGUAACGCGUAUCCAACCUGCCCACCACUUGGGGAUAACCUUGCGAAAGUAAGACUAAUACCCAAUGAUAUCUCUAGAAGACAUCUGAAAGAGAUUAAAGAUUUAUCGGUGAUGGAUGGGGAUGCGUCUGAUUAGCUUGUUGGCGGGGUAGCGGCCCACCAAGGCAACGAUCAGUAGGGGUUCUGAGAGGAAGGUCCCCCACAUUGGAACUGAGACACGGUCCAAACUCCUACGGGAGGCAGCAGUGAGGAAUAUUGGUCAAUGGGCGAGAGCCUGAACCAGCCAAGUAGCAUGAAGGAUGACUGCCCUAUGGGUUGUAAACUUCUUUUAUAAAGGAAUAAAGUCGGGUAUGCAUACCCGUUUGCAUGUACUUUAUGAAUAAGGAUCGGCUAACUCCGUGCCAGCAGCCGCGGUAAUACGGAAGGUCCGGGCGUUAUCCGGAUUUAUUGGGUUUAAAGGGUGCGUAGGCCGGAGAUUAAGCGUGUUGUGAAAUGUAGACGCUCAACGUCUGCACUGCAGCGCGAACUGGUUUCCUUGAGUACGCACAAAGUGGGCGGAAUUCGUGGUGUAGCGGUGAAAUGCUUAGAUAUCACGAAGAACUCCGAUUG
rnacentral:rRNA from 1 species